GCCAUGAUGCAAUCCUAUUAGCUGAUCUGUUUGAGCUGAUUGUUUCGUUUAUCUCUAAGAAGUUCUGAGCCU